GUUUUGUGAUUUCUGAGGCCUUUCUGGGGAAGAGGCAGCAGUAGUAAUGCAGCUCUAGUUUAAAGGUUUAACCAGCAUUUCAGUAACAGCUCAAAUUUUCUGUGGACUGAAGUUUGCCAAACAUCUCCAAGACAGAAAAAGAGGAAGCAAAACAGGAGGAAGAAGAAAUGCAGGAGUUG